AUCAACUUUCGAUGGUAGGAUAGAGGCCUACCAUGGUGGUAACGGGUAACGGGGUGUUAGGGCACGACACCGGAGAGGGAGCCUGAGAAACGGCUACCACAUCCAAGGAUGGCAGCAGGCGCGCAAAUUACCCAAUCCCGACACGGGGAGGUAGUGACAAUAAAUAACAAUACGGGGUCCUUUCGGGUUUCGUAAUUGGAAUGAGUACAAUUUAAAUCUCUUAACGAGGAACAAUUGGAGGGCAAGUCUGGUGCCAGCAGCCGCGGUAAUUCCAGCUCCAAUAGCGUAUAUUAAAGUUGUUGCAGUUAAAAAGCUCGUAGUUGAAUUUCGGGAUUAGUACGUUGGUCGUGCCUUCGGUACGUACUGGUGUUACUGAUUCCUACCUUCUGACGAACCAUCAUGUCAUUAAUUUGGUGUGGUGGGAAAUCAGGACUGUUACUUUGAAAAAAUUAGAGUGUUUAAAGCAGGCUCGCGCUUGAAUACAUUAGCAUGGAAUAAUGAAAUAGGACGUUGACCCUAUUUUGUUGGUUUCUAGGAUUGACGUAAUGAUUAAUAGGGAUAGUUGGGGGCAUUAGUAUUCAAUUGUCAGAGGUGAAAUUCUUGGAUUUAUUGAAGACUAACUACUGCGAAAGCAUUUGCCAAGGAUGUUUUCAUUAAUCAAGAACGAAAGUUAGGGGAUCGAAGACGAUCAGAUACCGUCGUAGUCUUAACCAUAAACUAUGCCGACUAGGGAUCGGAUGAUGUUAAUUUUUUAAUGACUCAUUCGGCGCCUUACGGGAAACCAAAGUGUUUGGGUUC
rnacentral:rRNA from 1 species